GCGCCCAGAGGUCAAUUGGAUAGAGCGUCUGGCUACGGACCAGAAGGUUGUGGAUUCGAGCUCUGCUGGGCGCGCCA
rnacentral:tRNA from 1 species